rnacentral:rRNA from 1 species
GGUUAAGUUAAUAAGGGCGCACGGUGGAUGCCUUGGCACUAGAAGCCGAAGAAGGACGUGACUAACGACGAAAUGCCUUGGGGAGCUGUAAGUAAGCAAUGAUCCAGGGGUGUCCGAAUGGGGGAACCCGGCAGGUAAUGCCUGUCACUCACUACUGUUAAGGUAGUGAAGAGGAAGACGCAGUGAACUGAAACAUCUAAGUAGCUGCAGGAAGAGAAAGCAAAAGCGAUUGCCUUAGUAGCGGCGAGCGAAACGGCAGGAGGGCAAACCGAGGAGUUUACUCCUCGGGGUUGUAGGACUGCAAUGUGGACUUAAAGAGUAUAGAAGAACUACCUGGGAAGGUAGGCCAAAGAGAGUAAUAGCCUCGUAUUUGAAAUAUUCUUUAUACCUAGCAGUAUCCUGAGUACGGCGAGACACGCGAAAUCUCGUCGGAAUCUGGGAGGACCAUCUCCUAACCCUAAAUACUCUCUAGUGACCGAUAGUGAACCAGUACCGUGAGGGAAAGGUGAAAAGUACCCCGGAAGGGGAGUGAAAUAGAACCUGAAACCGUGUGCCUACAACAAGUUCGAGCCCGUUAAUGGGUGAGAGCGUGCCUUUUGUAGAAUGAACCGGCGAGUUACGAUAUGAUGCGAGGUUAAGUUGAAGAGACGGAGCCGUAGGGAAACCGAGUCUUAAUAGGGCGCAUUAGUAUUAUGUCGUAGACCCGAAACCAUGUGACCUACCCAUGAGCAGGUUGAAGGUGCGGUAAGACGCACUGGAGGACCGAACCAGGGCACGUUGAAAAGUGCUUGGAUGACUUGUGGGUAGCGGAGAAAUUCCAAACGAACUUGGAGAUAGCUGGUUCUCUCCGAAAUAGCUUUAGGGCUAGCGUCGACAUUAAGAAUCUUGGAGGUAGAGCACUGUUUGGAUGAGGGGGCCAUCUCGGUUUACUGAUUUCAGAUAAACUCCGAAUGCCAAAGAUUUAUGGUCGGCAGUCAGACUGCGAGUGCUAAGAUCCGUAGUCGAAAGGGAAACAGCCCAGACCACCAGCUAAGGUCCCAAAAUAAUUGUUAAGUGGAAAAGGAUGUGGGGUUGCACAGACAACUAGGAUGUUAGCUUAGAAGCAGCUAUUCAUUCAAAGAGUGCGUAAUAGCUCACUAGUCGAGUGACCCUGCGCCGAAAAUGUACCGGGGCUAAAACAAUUUACCGAAGCUGUGGAUAACACUUAAGUGUUAUGGUAGGAGAGCGUUCUAUGUGUGAAGAAGGUAUACCGUGAGGAGUGCUGGAACGCAUAGAAGUGAGAAUGCCGGUAUGAGUAGCGAAAGAUGGGUGAGAAUCCCAUCCACCGUAAGACUAAGGUUUCCAGGGGAAGGCUCGUCCGCCCUGGGUUAGUCGGGACCUAAGGAGAGACCGAAAGGUGUAUCCGAUGGACAACAGGUUGAUAUUCCU